GACGAACGCUGGCGGCGUGCCUAAUACAUGCAAGUAGAACGCUGAAGAGAGGAGCUUGCUCUUCUUGGAUGAGUUGCGAACGGGUGAGUAACGCGUAGGUAACCUGCCUUGUAGCGGGGGAUAACUAUUGGAAACGAUAGCUAAUACCGCAUAACAAUGGAUGACACAUGUCAUUUAUUUGAAAGGGGCAAUUGCUCCACUACAAGAUGGACCUGCGUUGUAUUAGCUAGUAGGUGAGGUAAUGGCUCACCUAGGCGACGAUGCAUAGCCGACCUGAGAGGGUGAUCGGCCACACUGGGACUGAGACACGGCCCAGACUCCUACGGGAGGCAGCAGUAGGGAAUCUUCGGCAAUGGGGGCAACCCUGACCGAGCAACGCCGCGUGAGUGAAGAAGGGUUUCGGAUCGUAAAGCUCUGUUGUAAGUCAAGAACGGGUGUGAGAGUGGAAAGUUCACACUGUGACGGUAGCUUACCAGAAAGGGACGGCUAACUACGUG
rnacentral:rRNA from 1 species